GAUGAACGCUGGCGGCGUGCCUAAUACAUGCAAGUCGAGCGAACAGACGAGGAGCUUGCUCCUUUGACGUUAGCGGCGGACGGGUGAGUAACACGUGGGUAACCUACCUAUAAGACUGGGAUAACUUCGGGAAACCGGAGCUAAUACCGGAUAAUAUUUCGAACGGCAUGGUUCGAUAGUGAAAGAUGGCGUUGCGAUCACUUAUAGAUGGACCUGCGCCGUAUUAGCUAGUUGGUAAGGUAACGGCUUACCAAGGCAACGAUGCGUAGCAGACCUGAGAGGAUGAUCGGCCACACUGGAACUGAGACACGGUCCAGACUCCUACGGGAGGCAGCAGUAGGGAAUCUUCCGCAAUGGGCGAAAGCCUGACGGAGCAACGCCGCGUGAGUGAUGAAGGUCUUCGGAUCGUAAAACUCUGUUAUUAGGGAAGAACAAACGUGUAAGUAACUGUGCACGUCUUGACGGUACCUAAUCAGAAAGCCACGGCUAACUACGUG
rnacentral:rRNA from 1 species